GAUGAACGCUGGCGGCGUGCCUAAUACAUGCAAGUCGAGCGAACGGACGAGAAGCUUGCUUCUCUGAUGUUAGCGGCGGACGGGUGAGUAACACGUGGAUAACCUACCUAUAAGACUGGGAUAACUUCGGGAAACCGGAGCUAAUACCGGAUAAUAUUUUGAACCGCAUGGUUCAAAAGUAAAAGACGGUCUUGCUGUCACUUAUAGAUGGAUCCGCGCUGCAUUAGCUAGUUGGUACGGUAACGGCUUACCAAGGCAACGAUGCAUAGCCGACCUGAGAGGGGGGUCGGCCACCCUGGAACUGAGACAGGGUCCAGACUCCUACGGGAGGCAGCAGUAGGGAAUCGUCCGCAAUGGGCGAGAGCCUGACGGAGCAACGCCGCGUGAGUGAUGAAGAUCUUCGGAGCGUAAAACUCUGUUAUUAGGUAAGAACAUAUGUGUAAGUAACUGUGCACAUCUUGACGGUACCUAAUCAGAAAGCCACGGCUAACUACGUG
rnacentral:rRNA from 1 species